UGCCAGCAGCCGCGGUAAUACGGAGGGGGCAAGCGUUGUUCGGAAUUACUGGGCGUAAAGGGCGCGUAGGCGGGAUAUCAAGUCAGGGGUGAAAGGCCUGGGCUCAACCUGGGAACUGCCUUUGAAACUGAUAUUCUUGAGUCCGGAAGAGGAUGGCGGAAUUCCCAGUGUAGAGGUGAAAUUCGCAGAUAUUGGGAGGAACACCAGUGGCGAAGGCGACUGCCUGGGCCGGUUCUGACACUGAGGCGCGAAAGCAUGGGGAGCAAACAGGAUUAGAUA
rnacentral:rRNA from 1 species